GACGAACGCUGGCGGCGUGCUUAACACAUGCAAGUCGAACGGAAAGGCCCCCACCUUGGUGGGGGUGCUCGAGUGGCGAACGGGUGAGUAACACGUGGGUGAUCUGCCCUGUACUUCGGGAUAAGCUUGGGAAACUGGGUCUAAUACCGGAUAGGACCAUGGUUUAGUGUCUCAUGGUGGAAAAAUUAUUGUUUUGGUGCAGGAUGAGCUCGCGGCCUAUCAGCUUGUUGGUGGGGUAAUGGCCUACCAAGGCGUCGACGGGUAGCCGGCCUGAGAGGGUGGACGGCCACAUUGGGACUGAGAUACGGCCCAGACUCCUACGGGAGGCAGCAGUGGGGAAUAUUGCACAAUGGGCGCAAGCCUGAUGCAGCGACGCCGCGUGGGGGAUGACGGCCUUCGGGGUGUAAACUCCUUUCGUUAGGGACGAAGCCACACCUUUUUUGGGUGUGGUGACGGUACCUUUGUUAAGAAGCACCGGCUAACUACGUG
rnacentral:rRNA from 1 species